rnacentral:rRNA from 1 species
UUCCUACGGGAGGCAGCAGCAGGGAAUUUUGCACAAUGGGCGCAAGCCUGAUGCAGCGACGCCGCGUGAGGGAUGAAGGCCUUCGGGUUGUAAACCUCUUUCAGGAGGGACGAAGCGCAAGUGACGGUACCUCCAGAAGAAGCCCCGGCCAACUACGUGCCAGCAGCCGCGGUAAUACGUAGGGGGCGAGCGUUGUCCGGAUUCAUUGGGCGUAAAGAGCUCGUAGGCGGCUCAGUAAGUCGGCCGUGAAAGCCCAGGGCUCAACCCUGGGAGGCCGGUCGAUACUGCUGUGGCUAGGGUCCGGUAGAGGAGAGUGGAAUUCCCGGUGUAGCGGUGAAAUGCGCAGAUAUCGGGAGGAACACCAGUAGCGAAGGCGGCUCUCUGGGCCGGUACCGACGCUGAGGAGCGAAAGCUAGGGGAGCAAACAGGAUUAGAUACCCUGGUAGUCCUAGCCGUAAACGUUGGGCACUAGGUGUGGCGGAUUCAUUGACAUCUGCCGUGCCGGAGCUAACGCAUUAAGUGCCCCGCCUGGGGAGUACGGUCGCAAGGCUAAAACUCAAAUGAAUUGACGGAA